rfam:Trichuris trichiura, WGS project CBXK01000000 data, contig: TTRE_659
CAAACGGCCCUUUUCAGGGCCACCGAAUGUGUUCACUGCGAGCUUG